GCAGUCGUGGCCGAGCGGUUAAGGCGAUAGACUUGAAAUCUAUUUCCCUUUGGGAGCGCAGGUUCGAAUCCUGCCGACUGCG
rnacentral:tRNA from 1 species